ACCACGAAACCAGGCAUAAGUCGCGCAGCCGCGUUCAGAGCUACAGCCAAAUUUAGUCAGGGAAGCGAUUUUCUAUGUGUUUUGACAUCUUGGAAGAAAACGGUACCUUAACACUUAUAUUUUCAAUUUCCAUGGUCAUUACAUUCAAAUUCGGUCAAUAAAGAUGUUUAUUAUGUCAAUUAUGUCAGCGUGAUCAAAAGUUCAGGCUUCACUGAGCAAAGAGAAAGCCGAAAUGGGCCACUUUUCCCCGACCGAAACAACCUCCGAUCUGUUGCGGAUCAUCCAAGUGUUUGGUACGAGGAGAAAGCUAAUGAAAUGCCCUGUCCAAUCACGUAGGUCAAAUGGCGAUAUUAUUUUGUAGUUCUUUUAAAAGAGCCAAUCAAAUGAGUAAACCAAACCCUCUUGUUGCUAUGCCUGUCAAGAUCAAGCUCCGUGAUUGGUCAAACGCCCACCGCGUGCUCUACGGGCAUGCGCAGUUCUCUCACUUACAUCCGCAACAAACCAGCAUGGUUAGUGUUAUUGCAAGUUUGAUUAAUGUUUCGUCUCGUAAAAAGCCGUAUUUACUCCUCAUUUUUGGACAACAAUGACAAGGACAAAGGCGACUGGGAGUCUGAUGAUGACUGGGAUGCCUUUGAUGAUGAAAAAGACGAUCGAGUGCACGAACUGGGAACAGAUUCAGCAGUGGAGAAGACCAAUGCGAUUUUUUUUUUUUUUUUUUACCGCGGACGUAUCUCCCAAUUCUGGCUAUGAAAAGACCAAUAAUCUUUGCAUCAGCAAGGAAAGACUAACAGGCUUACUGAAAUGGUACUCCACUGGGACAGGACAGGAGGGAGAAAAAUGUCUCGAGAUCCCUUCAGCUGGACAACAUCAAAGGAGAGGUGACAUUCAUCCAACAACAAGGUUCACAAAAUGCCCUAGUGCUCACUGGACAUGUCCCUGGAUUUAAACGUGAUGAUCUACAGCCCCUGCCUUCAGUUCACACUGCCACCAAGGUCAACCAAAGCUACAAAGAUGUUCUUCUUGGGACAGAGAAGAACUAUUGGACCAUCAAGCACCAACAAGAGUGGAGACUUGAAGAAAGCGACGCAUCUCUGAAUCUUACACUGACUCUGAGAGUGCCCAUAGACAGGUUGUGGGCGUGGAGAUGAACUUUUAAAUCUGUAAAUA